rnacentral:rRNA from 1 species
GAUGAACGCUGGCGGCGUGCCUAAUACAUGCAAGUCGAGCGAACGGACGAGAAGCUUGCUUCUCUGAUGUUAGCGGCGGACGGGUGAGUAACACGUGGAUAACCUACCUAUAAGACUGGGAUAACUUCGGGAAACCGGAGCUAAUACCGGAUAAUAUUUUGAACCGCAUGGUUCAAAAGUGAAAGACGGCUUUGUUGUCCCUAAUAGAUGGAUCCGCGCUGCAUUAGCUAGUUGGUAAGGUAACGGCUUACCAAGGCAACGAUGCAUAGCCGACCUGAGAGGGUGAUCGGCCACACUGGAACUGAGACACGGUCCAGACUCCUACGGGAGGCAGCAGUAGGGAAUCUUCCGCAAUGGGCGAAAGCCUGACGGAGCAACGCCGCGUGAGUGAUGAAGGUCUUCGGAUCGUAAAACUCUGUUAUUAGGGAAGAACAUAUGUGUAAGUAACUGUGCACAUCUUGACGGUACCUAAUCAGAAAGCCACGGCUAACUACGUG